rnacentral:rRNA from 1 species
GACAGAGGUGCCAAGCGUUAGGCGGAAUUACUGGGCGUAAAGAGUGUGUAGGCGGUGCUCUAAGUUCGGUGUGAAAUCUCCCGGCUUAACUGGGAGGGUGCGCCGGAAACUGGAGUGCUCGAGCGUGGGAGAGGAAAGCGGAAUUCCUGGUGUAGCGGUGAAAUGCGUAGAUAUCAGGAGGAACACCUGCGGUGUAGACGGCUUUCUGGACCAUUGCUGACGCUGAGACACGAAAGCGUGGGUAGCAAACAGG